rnacentral:rRNA from 1 species
CAGCCGCCGCGGUAAUACAGAGGGUGCAAGCGUUAAUCGGAAUUACUGGGCGUAAAGCGCGCGUAGGUGGUUCGUUAAGUUGGAUGUGAAAUCCCCGGGCUCAACCUGGGAACUGCAUUCAAAACUGACGAGCUAGAGUAUGGUAGAGGGUGGUGGAAUUUCCUGUGUAGCGGUGAAAUGCGUAGAUAUAGGAAGGAACACCAGUGGCGAAGGCGACCACCUGGACUGAUACUGACACUGAGGUGCGAAAGCGUGGGGAGCAAACAGGAUUAGAUACCCCGGUAGUCCCUGUCUCUUAUAC